GAAAUACAGGGAACAAUUCCUCGGGUUAUGAAUGAGCAUGAAAUCUGACACCCUUUCUUCCCCUUUUCAGACAUGACUCAUUGCUCUUGUUGCAAUUCCCAAGGCCCUGAAGCUCUUCUUUAAAGUGCGGAGACAAAGGCAACAUCUUCAAUUCCAGCUGGCUUAUCCGGAGAGCUCUGACAGUGCGCAGCCGCGGAUUUCCUUAUGCAUUGUAAAACUAAGUGCUCUGAGGGCCUAACCUCCCCCACCCUGGAGGGACAGGUGCCACAGUGCUGGAAAGGGAACAAGACUGCAUCCUGCCUUCAUGCCAGAAGAGGACACCAGAUCGCACUAUAGAUGGUUGUGAGCCAUCUUGUGGUUGCUGGGAAUUGAACUUAGGACCUUUGGAAGAACAGCCAGUGCUCUUAACCUCUGAGCCAGAUCUCCAGGCCCUCUAAAAUCUUAAACUUGAAUUUCCAACAUGAGUAUUUUCUGAAAAAUGAGAAAUGUUCACGAAGGAUCUGUCCCGUGACUUGGUGAUUAUUAAAGGAAGACUCUGCACGCUGGCAUCUGGGAACACAGUGGUUAAACAGAUGAUUAUUGUUCCGCCCUGAUGAAUCUUUUCCUUAUCCACAAGUAGAAGCAAUGAGGAAAACAAUCCACAAGUCACUCAGACAAAGCAGGGCUUAGUAAUAUGGACAUGACAGGAGCUUGAAGAUAAUGUGACCAUUGUCAUUUUGGUGCCUGUAAUGAGCAGGGAAGGGAAAACUGGACAAUCCAGUCAGAUCAUUAUUGUUAAAUAGACAAGUUCCAGAAAUGAAAAAGGGAGGUGAUUCUAUAGCCGAUAUUUGAAAAGAAGAGAGAGAUGAAGUCCUCUGAAGUUGUAAGAUGUUCUCAAAACAAAAUUCUAACCCUUUCCCUUUCUUAUUGUGGAGCCUGCUGGGCUGGAUUUCUUAUUAUAGACAUUUGCAAUUGGAUGAUUCUUCUGUGUGGGGCCGGUGGGGUAGCAGGCAUUCUCUGUGCUAUAGCUUUCCUGGCCUCCACACAUUGCCAUUGUUACCCUACCUCAGGCUGUGACAACAGAAAACCAUCUCAGGCCUGCACAGUCUAAGAAGAACCCAACAGAAAAGAGAGUGAGGAGAUUCCAAGAAAACAAGGAAAAGAAUAAAAGAGCAAUUCAGAAUCGUAUCAUCACUUUAGAUAAGAGUUGAAAUUUCAGCUUAACAAUUUAGGAAAGGAAAGUAGUGGCCAUACUGGCUCGUGAGAAUGAGAGAAGGGAAGGGAUGGAUCUUAAACCACAGGG